rnacentral:rRNA from 1 species
GAUGAACGCUGGCGGCGUGCCUAAUACAUGCAAGUCGAGCGAACAGACGAGGAGCUUGCUCCUCUGACGUUAGCGGCGACGGGUGAGUAACACGUGGAUAACCUACCUAUAAGACUGGGAUAACUUCGGGAAACCGGAGCUAAUACCGGAUAAUAUAUUUAACCGCAUGGUUCAAUAGUGAAAGACGGUUUUGCUGUCACUUAUAGAUGGAUCCGCGCCGCAUUAGCUAGUUGGUAAGGUAACGGCUUACCAAGGCAACGAUGCGUAGCCGACCUGACAGGGUGAUCGGCCACACUAGAACUGAGACACGGACCAGACUCCUACGGGAGGCAGCAGUAGGGAAUCUUCCGCAAUGGGCGAAAGCCUGACGGAGCAACGCCGCGUGAGUGAUGAAGGUCUUCGGAUCGUAAAACUCUGUUAUUAGGGAAGAACAAAUGUGUAAGUAACUAUGCACGUCUUGACGGUACCUAAUCAGAAAGCCACGGCUAACUACGUG